rnacentral:rRNA from 1 species
GAUCCUGGCUCAGGAUGAACGCUAGCUACAGGCUUAACACAUGCAAGUCGAGGGGAAACGAUAUUGGAAGCUUGCUUCCGAUAGGCGUCGACCGGCGCACGGGUGAGUAACGCGUAUCCAACCUGCCCAUCACUUGGGGAUAACCUUGCGAAAGUAAGACUAAUACCCAAUGACGUCUCUAGAAGACAUCUGAAGGAGAUUAAAGAUUUAUCGGUGAUGGAUGGGGAUGCGUCUGAUUAGCUUGUUGGCGGGGUAACGGCCCACCAAGGCGACGAUCAGUAGGGGUUCUGAGAGGAAGGUCCCCCACAUUGGAACUGAGACACGGUCCAAACUCCUACGGGAGGCAGCAGUGAGGAAUAUUGGUCAAUGGGCGCGAGCCUGAACCAGCCAAGUAGCGUGAAGGAUGAAGGCUCUAUGGGUCGUAAACUUCUUUUAUAUGGGAAUAAAGUUUUCCACGUGUGGAAUUUUGUAUGUACCAUAUGAAUAAGGAUCGGCUAACUCCGUG